rfam:Schistosoma haematobium scaffold561_2, whole genome shotgun sequence.
AUCCAACUGACGAGUCCCAAAUAUGACGAAACUUGUGUCAUGGAU